rnacentral:rRNA from 1 species
UACGUAGGGUGCGAGCGUUAAUCGGAAUUACUGGGCGUAAAGCGUGCGUAGGUGGUUCGUUAAGUCUGAUGUGAAAGCCCUGGGCUCAACCUGGGAAUGGCAUUGGAAACUGGCGACCUAGAGUGCGGUAGAGGGUAGUGGAAUUCCCGGUGUAGCAGUGGAAUGCGUAGAGAUCGGGAGGAACAUCCGUGGCGAAGGCGACUACCUGGACCAGCACUGACACUGAGGCACGAAAGCGUGGGGAGCAAACAGG